rnacentral:rRNA from 1 species
CCUACGGGAGGCAGCAGGAGGGAAUCUUCGGCAAUGGGGGGAACCCUGACCGAGCAACGCCGCGUGAACGAAGAAGUUAUUAGUAAUGUAAAGUUCUUUUAACAGGGAAGAAAGAGAAAUUUGACGGUACCUGAAGAAUAAGAAUCGGCUAACUCCGUGCCAGCAGCCGCGGUAAUACGGGGGAUGCGAGCGUUAUCCGGUGUGUUUGGGUUAAAAGGGGGGUUAGGCGGAUUUUUAAGCCAGCGGUAAAAUGUCCGUGCUCAACCCGGGCCGGCCGUUGACACUGGGGAUCUUGAGUGGGCGAGAAGUAUGCGGAAGGCGUGGUGGAGCGGUGAAAUGCAUAGAUAUCACGCAGAACUCCGAUUGCGAAGGCAGCAUACCGGCGCCCGACUGACGCUGAGGCACGAAAGCGUGGGGAUCGAACAGGAUUAGAUACCCGUGUAGUC